CUGAUGAAUCUAGUCCAAUGAAACAAAGAGAUGUUGUUCGAAAGAAACCUUGAGAAGUUGAGUGAGUUCAUGGCCAUAAGGCGGGACUUAUAAACAAAUGUACCAUCCAAUAGCAUUGUGAGACUGAACAAUAGGACCCAAUGACUAUGUAAAUGUGGUAAAACAUAAGAUAAAAUAUAACAGAUUGUUUUUUAGAAUGGCUAAAGGUAACGUUGUAAUUUUACAGGGUUAAGGCGAAUCUCAAUCUCAAUACUUGCAGCUUGGUGGCUGAAAGAAAUGGGGAGCUGAUUGUAUGUUAACACGGACUAUUUUUUCUCAGUACUGCGCAGGUGCGAGAGGGAUAAACCCAAUAGCGAUAGCUCUCAGAGGGCUGCGCCUAUACGAAAUAGAACUGAUUUAUAAGCAAAAUGGUCGUAUGUUUUUACUUAUAAACAUUAGUUUUGAUUGAAGUUGAAGAAAUAUGUUCUCUCAUAUUUUUUUUUCAAUUGCAACCUGUUCUGUUUCCAUCUCAAAAAUGUUUGGAUUGCCCCUUACUCUUUUUUGCUCUCAAAUCUCGAUGCUGGUGGGGGGGGCUUACAGAGCAGCAGCAGCAAUACAGAUACAGGGCAACAGUGGCAUUGACAGAGCAGAGGGAGAGCUGGGAAAUGUUGCAGUUUAAAUAGACUCAGAUUGGAAGGGAGCGCUUGGUUAGUGAUUAUGGAAUAAGGCAUGCCGUGUGUAUAUCAGCGCUUUCGUUUCCGUAUGCGCGGUGCAUCAUGGGUACACUAGAGUAGUUCAGUAGUCAUCAUGGCGGCAGUCCGAUCGUACAGCGUUUACAUCCUUCUGUAUUUCUUUUGUUUCCUGGCUGCACAAGGGCAACAAGUGAUAUCAGUGAAUCCUGGAGGUGAUGUCACUCUGCCAUGUUCAGCUGGUGAUGACUCCAUCAGAGCUGUAGAGUGGACCAGAACUGACCUGGAGCCAGAGUACGUCCUCUUUUACAGAAACAGACGCUCAGAUCCAACCUACCAACAUCCAUCCUUUAAGGGUCGGGUGGAUCUGACAGACAGAGAGAUGAAGGAUGGAGACGUGUCUUUAGUUCUAAAGAACGUGACCAUCAGUGACAACGGAACAUACGAGUGUCGAGUUGCUACAGGUGGUUCAGACAACACAGACAUCACUGACAUGAAGACAAUCAGAACCAUCCAACUGGAGGUCACAGCCUCAGGUUCCAACAGCAAAAACACCAUGGAUGGAGACUACAAAGACACAACCAACAUGGAUGGAGACUACAAAGACACAACCAACAGGGCUGGAAACACACACAUUGGACUGACAGUUGGACUGAUAGCUUUCGGUCUGAUUUGUUCAGCUGUUGUUGGAAUGGUUCUCUGGAAUAAAAAGAGACACAGACAGUAACUCAGAACCAGCUGCUGAUGAAGCAGUGGGUGAUCAGCUCCUCUGAACCUCUACAGACCUCUUUAUACCAAAGUCAUGUUGAACACUUUCUGUGGGCCAUUUGUAAAUCUGCUGUUUGAGGCUCUCCAUCAUCAUGGACUGCAUGGUUCACUGGUUACCUGUAGCAGAGUGAGUAGGGGGGCAGAGCCACACCCACGGUUCUCCAGAGACCCACCAUUGGCCCAGUCCAUCUGACUGAAGAUGCAUAUCAGCUCCAGUGGGGCACUGUGGCCCGUUUGUAUUGUCGCUGUAUUGUCGUCAGCCAGGGCUCCUAACUCUGAUCUAAUGUUGAGUGAGAACAUCAACCCCUGUAUCUGACAGAGUGCUGCUGUUAGCUCUGCAGACAAACAGGUGAAGAUGUUAGCUGGGAGCUAGCUCUGUGCAGGUAGCUGAAAGCAACCGUGAUGAUGAUGAUGAUGAUGAUGAUGAUGAUGAUAGUUUAUUGUGUCCAACCGUGUUCGACUGUUUGCACAUUUCAAUUAAAUUAAAUUCAAUUCAAUUUUAUUUGUAUAGCGCCAAUUCAUAACAGAAGUUAUCUCAGGACACUUUUCAAAUAGAGCAGGUCUAGACCGAACUCUUUAAAACAUUAAUUACAGAGACCCAACAGUACCACCAUGAGCAAGACCUUGGAGACAAGGGCAAGGAAAAACUGCCUGUUAAAAGGCAGAAACCUAGGACAGAUCCUCCGGCUCUAGGUGGGUGGGAGAGAGAGAGAGAGAGACAGACAGAUAGACUGACAGGUGCACAGCAACAACAGUAUUGGCAAUGGCAAUCUAGCAGGACCAUGGCAGGAGGCUCCACCAGGAUCCAUGAGAACCUGCAAGACGAGAAAGCACAAGAACUCCGGGGAAGAAGUGAAGUUAGUAACAUGCAUUAAUGGGACAUGAAUGAGUGCAGAAAGAGAGAGGAAGAGAGGAGCUCAGUGCACCAUGGGAAAUCCCCCCGAUAGUCUAGGCCUAUAGCAGCAUAACUAAGGGAUGGUUCAGGACUCACCUGAUCCAGCCCUAACUAUAAGCUUUAUCAAAGAGGAAUGUCUUAAGCCUACUCUUGAAUGUGGUGAUGGUGUCUGCCUCCCGAACCACAAAUUUCAUACAGGCUGCAGUGGAUUCACAUCAUUUUGACUCGAUUACAUUCAAACUGACUGCUGCUGGAUGAAAACUUCCUGGUCAGCUGUUUAAUAUCCAUUAUUCAUGAUCAACGCCAUGAAGACAAGUACCUGUCUCACACACCGGCUGCCCUGUCUCUCUCUCCAUGUACAGACUGUGUGUCUGUCUGUUAAACAUCCACCAGAUAACAUCUCUCUCUCUGUUGCUCUGCAAAAUGCUGAAAGAACAAACCUUCCUCUGGACUGAAAUCUAAAUCUAAAAUUCUGCCUAAUUAGAACUAAUUAGAGUGAAUAUCAGCGAUUAGGCACCCUUAAUGCGUGGUGAUGUUAGCAGUUCAGUGUCUAACUGAUUUGGUGGAAGGUGGUACUGUACUUAUGUUAUUGCAGUGUACUGUAAGUGUUACAGUGGCUUUUCCUCUCUGCAACCGUAGGUCCCCCAGCACACAAUCAAGCACAACAGGUUGAUUAAUGAACAAAAAUGUAUUAUUUUCUAAGCCGCACACACUAUCAACACAUAUACUUAGUUUCCUUGCUGUUUCCAGAGCUUCUUUAGCCCCUUUCCAAAGUCCACAAUGAUCAACUCCAGAAGUCCUCUGGUCCAGCACACUACGCAGUGUCGCAGCAGAUUUGAUCUCAGUUAGCAGGUGGAACUCCUUCCUCCUGCUAAUUGCACUUCUCAUUUUCAAAAUAUUUCAAUAUGUACACUGUUUUGCCAGUGAUGUAAAAACAGGAGCCUCAACUUUCCUAAAUGCACAUAUUCUGUCACAUAAAGAGAGUGCACAUUGUGUUUACCAAGAGAAAAACAAGAAGCUGUUAACAUCAGUGCCUUUAUUUCAUUUCAUUUAUAAAGUAUUUAUACAUGUAUUACUGUUAAAUGCAUUCCUCAACUCUCAUUUGUAAAGUAUUUAACGAAUCACAUUGUGAUUUAAAACAUGUUUAUCUCUUCAAAAUGGUCGCUUUACCUGUUCAAGACAAUGUGACGUGAUGCAGAAACAGGUUCAUUCAUAUAUGCCCAAUUUUCUGUUUUCACUGUGAACUGGGUCUUAAUGUUUAUUAUUUAAAAAAGUGUCUCCCCAGAAAAAUUACUACUAAAGUUGUUUUACACAGCUCUUCCACCUUUCUCCCCAUUGUGAGCUGUUACCAAUCCAAUACCUUGAUAAAGUGUUACCAACAACAGUAUGUUUGUGAUCCUUUGAAACUUUUGUAUAAAGUGUAUUUUCAUAGAAAAAUAAACACUUAUUGUUACAUUUGGA